rnacentral:rRNA from 1 species
GACGAACGCUGGCGGCGUGCCUAACACAUGCAAGUGGAGCGACGAACCAGGGCUUGCCCUGGAGCAAAGCCGCGAACGGGUGAGUAACACGUGGGUAACCUGCCCCGAUGAUUGGGACAACCCGAGGAAACUCGGGCUAAUACCGAAUGUGCCCUGCCGGCCCAAGCCGGCGUGGGGAAAGGAAGCUUCGGCCUCCGCAUCGGGAGGGGCCCGCGGCCCAUUAGCUAGUUGGUGAGGUAAAGGCUCACCAAGGCAACGAUGGGUAGCUGGUCUGAGAGGACGAUCAGCCACACUGGGACGGAGACACGGCCCAGACUCCUACGGGAGGCAGCAGUGGGGAAUCUUGCGCAAUGCGCGAAAGCGUGACGCAGCAACGCCGCGUGGGGGAAGAAGGCCUUCGGGUUGUAAACCCCUUUCAGGAGGGACGAAGGUGCGGCGGCGAAUAGCCGACCGCACUGACGGUACCUCCAGAAGAAGCCCCGGCUAACUACGUGCCAGCAGCCGCCGCCG